rnacentral:piRNA from 1 species
UGAAUGAAGUAAAUAAAUAUUAUAGUUGGGC